AUUGAACGCUGGCGGCAUGCUUUACACAUGCAAGUCGAACGGGAGCAUGAUCUAGCUUGCUAGAUUGAUGGAGAGUGGCGAACGGGUGAGUAAUACAUCGGAAAGUGCUCUGUAGCGUGGGGAAAAGAGUCGAAAGAUUAGCUAAUAACGCAAACGACUGGAGGGUGAAAGUGGGGGACGGCAAAGACUCAUUGUAUAGGAGCGGCCGGUGUCGGAUUAUCUAGUCGGGGGGGUAAAGUCAUACCAAGGCGACGAUCUGUAGCUGGUCUGAGAGGAGGAGGGGCCACAGUGGGACUGAGUCGCGGCCCAGUCUCCUACGGGAUGCUGCAGUGGGGAAUUGUGGACGAUAGUGGCAACCCUGAUCCAGCAAUACCGCGUGUGUGAAGGUGGCCUUCGAGUUGUAAAGCGCUUUUGUCCGGAUAGAAUUCGCACUUACUAAUAUUGGGUGUGUAUGACGUUACCGGAAUGAUAAGCGCCGGCUAACUACGUG
rnacentral:rRNA from 1 species